UACGGAGGGGACUAGCGUUGUUCGGAAUUACUGGGCGUAAAGCGCACGUAGGCGGAUUUGUAAGUCAGGGGUGAAAUCCCGGGGCUCAACCUCGGAACUGCCUUUGAUACUGCAAAUCUCGAGUCCGGAAGAGGUGAGUGGAAUUCCUAGUGUAGAGGUGAAAUUCGUAGAUAUCUGGAGGAACACCGGUGGCGAAGGCGGCAUCCUGGACCAAUUCUGACGCUGAGGAGCGAAAGCCAGGGGAGCAAGCGGG
rnacentral:rRNA from 1 species